CCAACUGCAACAUCAGCAGCAAAGUUGCGACUGAAACUGAUGCGAUUUUGAUGAUGCUGGGAAAAUCAUAAAGAAAAGUUUGCCGUUUGGAAUCUCCGUGGGGCACCAAGCCCCGGGUCUUGACUCUUGCGCACUCGACUAAACUCAAUUAACAGCCGCCGUGGCCAUAGUCGUGUACGCGAUCAUUAAUUAUUGGCCAACACGAAAGAGCGUGUGCGCAUUGUUCUAAGUCUGUGCAUAAAUUUAACCAUAAUAAACAUCAACAAGUGU